CCAUCUUCCUCACACAUUAUAUCCUCCAUUAUUGAAUAACUACGGCUCAUGUCUUCCAUAAAUUUCUCUUUUCCCUAAAUUGCGUUCAUCUUUGAUUCUUAUCAUGGAUCAUUUAUCGUCCUCUCUCAAGCUAGGAAGCACGAGCAAAUUCGCUUGGGGAAUUUGGUCAUGGCUGAUGAAUAUUGUCAACAUUUAGAGAUUCAAAAUACUUCAGUGAGUACUCUUUCACCAAAUUAUUACAAUAAUUGAUGUAUGUUCUCGAAUUGUUUAAGGAAUAUUGCAUAUUUUGUUUUAUAGAUAUUACUUCUUGAAUAUUAAAUUAUAAUUAUAUAUUAAAAUUUUACUUUAGUGAUUUAAAUUAAUUUGAUUGCAUUAUCUGUCGUUUUAUUAUAUUUGGAGAGAAUUAUAACAACAAAAUAAAAUAAAUAAAGUUGUAAACCAUUGCUUUAGCCUUUAGGUACUAACAAGAUCGUUGCAAAUAGGUAAUAAAAAUUUUGCAAUAGUUUAAUUAAAUUGUCGCAAUUUUCUUUCGAAAUUGUUGCAGUACCCUGUUAAGCCGUUAUUUUAUGUCCUACUCCCUCUGUUUCAAUCUAUAUGUGAACCCAUUUAAUUGGGCACAGAGUUUAAGAAAAAAGAGAAGACUUUUAAACUUGUAGUAUAAGAUGAGUCAUAUAUAUUUUGUGUGGCUAUAAAUCAUUACAUAAAGGUAAAUUAUUUUUAAAUAAGAAAAAUGGUCAUUUUUUUGGGCACAGACUAAAAAAGAAAUAGGUUUAAGUAAAUUAAAACGGAGAGAGUAUUAAUUUUCUACCAGCUAUAAAUUAAGGAAAUGAAGAGACUAAGAAGCAAGCUUGCAGAGAAAGAAAUUCUCCUUCAUUGCUGAAUCAGAGAGGAGAUUAGAAAAUGAUCUCUUACAAAAUGGAGACUAACUACUACCGUUAAUAUAAACAACUAACUUAAGUCAGUUACUAACUUCUAAUAUAUAUACCUCGGUCCCUCAACCUUCCAUAUUAACUAAUUCAUCACCCUGACUCAAUACUCCCCUCAAGGUGGAGGGUAGAAAAAUAUUCUUCACUCCUAACUUGCUAAGUAGGUGAUGAUGAUGUGCUUUACCAAGACCCUUUAUCAAUAGAUCUGCUAUCUGAUUCUUGGUGCUCACAUGAAUGGUUCUGAUAACACCAGCCUUGAUCUUCUCCCUAAUAAAAUGACAGUCGAUAUCUAUAUACUUUGUACACUCAUGAAAUAUUGAAUUUACUGCUAUUUGGAUUGCAACUUUUUUGUCACAUAUUAUGUGUACUGGUUGCUUAUGUUUAACUCUCAAUUCACUAAAUAAACUAAUUAACUAGACCACCUAAGCAACAGUAUAUGCCAUGCUUCUAAACUCUGCUUCUGCUGAGCUUCUUGCCACUGUCUCCUGCUUGGAUUUCCAUGAAACCAAAGCAUCCCUAUAGAAUACUAAGUAACUUGUAACUGACCUUCUAGUUUGAACACAAGCCCCCCAAUCUGCAUCGCAAUAAGCUGUCAGAUUACCAUCACCAGUUGAGGGGAGCAACAUCCCUUGUCCUGGUGCUUUUUUGAUGUACUUUACCACUCUCAUUGCUGCCUCCGAAUGGAAUUAUUUUGGAGAGUACAUAAAUUGGCUAAGUGUCUGCACAAUAAAGGAUAUGUCCGAUCUAGUCAUUGUGAGGUAUAACAACCUUCUAACUAGCCUUUGGUACUUACCAAAAUCUUUUAAGACUUCAUCCUGACAUCCUUUUUCUUGUGCAGAUAUCAGCUUAUCAAAGUCUGUUGAGGUUAGUUUCUGAUUUAUUUUUAAGGUAUUCUUUUCAUAGCAUCCAUAGGCAUAUGACCUAGUCUUUUAUGCCAAAAAGGGCCAUUUGUUCUAUUUACAAUUACUGUGAAAGUAAUGAGGCUAACCGGUAAUCCUGCUUCACAUUUGUUCUUGAUGGUCUAAUCCAACACAUACAAUCUAUGCUCCACUCUACUAAUCACCUUCACAUUCCCAUUGAAGAUGUCCUGGAACACACAACAGUCAGGAUAGAAGGAGAUGAAGAACCCUACAUCUUUGGUGAGCUUAGAGACUGCUAGCAAAUUGUAUCUAAACUGGGGUACAUAGAGCACAUUUUUAAUCAACAAUCCAUUUAAUAUGCUGGAAGAGCCUAAAUGAGUAAUCAUACUUGUUUCUCCAGUAGGCAACAAUACCUUUCUCAUGUUAGCCCUAGACAACUCCACAUAGUCAAUAUACACAUGCAGGCUAGCUACCAUAUGAUUAGUGGCCCCUGAGUCUAUUAUCCACAUAUUUUCCUUGACCAUACUGAGGAGUGACAAAGGUAUACAUGUAACCUUAUCACGUGAUGCUGUAUUAACAAAGGUACUAGUCUUGUUAAGCAUUUGAAGAAGUUGAUGAUACUGCUCUUCAGUGAGGAAGUGUCCUGCAAGUGUGAUGAUUGUGUUCCCCUUUGCUCUUUUAUAAUAACCCUGCCGGUCGUUUUGAGUAUUUUAGCCCCAAUCCCCUAUUUUUUGCCUCCUCUAUGUUGUAUUAUGGUUACGUGACUUGGCGAGGGUGUUUGGUUUUAGUUUCGGAGUGAAAUGGGACAUAUAGUCCCUAAGUUGGAGGCUUAAGUUGAAAGAGUUAACCGUAGUUUGACUUUUGUGUAUAUGACUCCAUAAUAGAGUUUUAAUGGUUCCAAUAGCUCCGUAUGGUGAUUUUAGACUUAGGAGUGUGUCCGUAUGUUGAUUUGGAGGUUCGUAGGUCGUUUCAGUGUGAAUUAGAAAAAAUUAGAAAGUUAAAGGUUUGGAAGGUUCGAAGGUUUGAUCGGGGGUUGACUUUAUUGAUAUUCGGGUCGGAUUCUUAUUACGGAAGUUGGAAUAGGUCCUCAUGUCAUUUAUGACUUGUGUGCGAAAUUUGAAGUCAAUCAGAGUUGUUUUGGUAGGAAUCGACAUUAGUUCAGAAUUUGGAAGUUCAUAGUUUCCAUAGGCUUGAAUUGUGUUGCGAUUCGUAGAAUCAAUAUUGUAUGAUAUGAUUUUUGGCCUCGAGUAGGUCCGUUAUGUAUUUUGGAACUUGUUGGUAUAUUCGGAUGGGGUCCCAGGGACCUCGAGUGUGAAACAGAUUGAAUCCAGAUCAAAAUUGAACUUGUGUGAUUGUUGAAGCUGGGCUGUGUCUAGUGCAAUCACACCUGCACAUUUUGGGUCGCAGGUGCGGCACCGCAGAAGAGGCCUUCGAGUCGCAGGAGCAAAAGUUGCCUUGCCCAGCUGGGACCGCAGGUUUGAAGCAGAUGUAGAAGCGGGCUCACGGAUGCGGUGGCUGCCCUCGCAAAAGCAAAAUUUGGGGAGCAGCCUUGGGCAUGACCACAGAUGCGGUCGUUUCUCUGCAGAAGCGGGCUCGCAGGUGCGAGCUUUUGUCUGUAGAAGCGGAACGUCUGGAUUUAAGUUGGAACUGCACCAGCAAUAGAUUUUUCGUAGGUGCGGUGUCACAGGUGCGACCCCAGGCCCGCAGAAGCGAGGAUCACUGGGCAAAAAAGGGGUCUUUGAGGGUUUGAGUUUCAUAAUUCAUUUUUGGACCUAGAGAGCUCGGUUUGUGACGAUAUUUCAGGAGAUUUGUAAGGAAAACAUUGGGAUAAAAAAUUCUAACUCGAUUUUGGUUAAAUUACAUAAAUUUAUUGUUAAUUUCAUCAUAUAAUUAGUGAUUUGAGUUGGAAAUUUGAUAAAAAAUUGUGAAAACUUCUUAGGCUAAAAUUUGGGGAUUUGAAAGGCGAUUUGAAUUCAGAUUUGAGUAAUUCUUAUAUGGUUGGACUCGUUAUCGAAUAGGUGUUCUGAUUUGAUAAUUUUGGUCGGGUUCCGAGAUGCGAGCCCGAGUUGACUUUUUGUGUUGACUUUUUAUUUCUUGUAAAGAUCAUAAUUUUAUUGUUCGAAAUAGUUUCCUAUAGUUUAUAUUUAUAGUAUGAAGUUGUUUUGGCUAGAUUCGAGCCAUUCAAAGUUGGAUAAUCGAGAGAAAGGCUUACUAGUGGAUUGAGUUAGGGUGUUUUGAGGUAAGUGUCUUGCCUAGCUUUAUGUGGGGGAAUUAACCCUUAGGAUUGGUGUUGUUUGUGAUAAUUGUGAUGUGUGAAAGCCGUGUACGCAAGGUAAUGAGUGUGUGCACGGGUUAAAUAUAAAAAUUAUCGAUUUUAGCUAUGUAGAUUCCUUUCAUGCCUUAAUUAAGUUACUUUAACAUGUUAUAUUCAUCAUCAUUAGGCUAUCUUCAUAUGCUCUACUUGUCUUAUCUCUUACUUGUUAAUUGAUCUACAUGUUUAGUUGAAGUAGUUAUUUCCUUCAUUCCUUAUUCAUUAUUUAACUGUGAAUUCUUUAUUUGAAGUUGCUAUUCUUGGAAUAUCUUGUUCUUGAAGUUGGUAAUGAGUUAUAAAGUCCGCGAUUCAUAUUGAGGCAAGGUUAUAAAGUAUGAAAUACUAUUCUUGUUGAGUUAUUCCGUUUCGAUGGUUAUUGCUGAGACUCUUGUGAACAUUGUGGUUGAGCCAUGUGCUAUUUAUUGUGAAAAUACUGUUUUUGUUGAUUUCUUUGACAAUUGUGAUUAUUGGGAACUUUUAGGUGCGAUUUGUGAUACAUUGUGAUUUUGANNNNNNNNNNNNNNNNNNNNNNNNNACUUAAAGUCACACGAUGUGAUAAGGUGGGCUAAAACGUGGGAAGCUAUUUCGGAAAAAUAAUUUUCAGAACUAAAUGCAAGGCUCUAGCGGUGAUAUAAGAAAAGAUUGUGAAUUAUUUUAUGAUUUGAGACUACGAGGCGGUACCUUGGUAGUGACUCUUGUUGAUACUUCUCUAUUACUUCACUUGUGUUUGGUUGUUUCAUUUCCUUGGCAUAACAUCCCUUAUUUUCUUUCGUGAUGCAUUACUUGUCUUAGUGUAGUUAAUCUUGGUAUGUUCCUUACUUGUUUCAUUUCCAUUGUUAUUAUUAUUACACUGUUAAUUACUCGUUCUGUUUCUUAUUUAUUCCAGUAGGGCCCUGACCUGACCUCGUUACUACUCUACCGAGUUUAGCUUGGCACUUAUUGGGUACCGUUGUGGUGUACUCAUGCUAUACUUCUGCAUAUUUUUUUGUGCAGAUCCAGGUAGGGCUGUGCAUUUGGAUCGAAUAUCCGAAAAUCCGAACCGAUCCACUCUAUUCGGAUUUUCGGAUUUUGGAUAUUUGAAUUGGAUAUGGAUUAUGUUUUUUUAAAAUUUUAGAUAUCCGGAUUGGAUUCAAAUUGAUAUAGUUUUAAUUCAAUCCGACCCGAAAUCCGAAAUUAUAUGGACCUAUAUAAAUACUAGACUAAAAUUUUAGGGUUAGGUCUUCUUUCUUAUUUCAUUUUUCAGAUUUAGCCACUUAGGUUAUAUCGAUACACUCUCUCUCACGCUUCUCUGUUGCGCCUCUCUUCUCCAAGACUCCAACUCUCUGUUCGAUUUCUAUUCUCAGUCACAGUCCUAAUCGACGGUAAGACUGACGUCUCUUUUUAACUAUUAAUUAUUAUUGGUUCCAUGGUUGCUUUCUCCCUCUUUCUUAGAGCUUAAAGGUGGUGUUUUUCACCUUUUAUUUCACCGAAGAAAUCAAAAUAGAGGUGUUUCAAGAAGAAAGCGUUGAACUGUUGAAGGAGAAGAAUGGUGUUUUCAUCAUAUUCACUGAAUAUAUUUUGUUAAAUCAGAAUGCGUUUUCAUCAUAUUCACUGAAUAUUUUCCCCCUUGGGAAUCAAUCAUAUGAGAAUAACUGAAGACAUGCUUUGGCUUAAGCUGUCACUGCACAGAAAGUUUCUAAUGCUUUUAAAUUUUAAUUCCUCCUUGUGUUGUAUCCUGUUUCAGGUCUUUUAACUUUUAAGUAUAAAGUAGUUUAUCACUCUAUUCCAAUCAAGCAUUCUUUAGAUGCAGUAGCUUAUUGGAAUCUUAGAUUAGAAAUAGUUUUUAAGUCCACUGGAGACAUUAACUACGAAGUGCAGUAGCUUAUUAGAUUAGCAAUAAGCCUUAAUAAUACGUACAAUUCGAUCCGAAAAUCUAAAAUAUUUACCCGAUCUAAACUUUAAAAUCCGAUGCUAAUUUGGAUUGGAUUCAGAUUGUAUUUUGUAGAAUCCAAAAUUCGAAAUUUCAAUCCGAAAUAUGCUAAAUUCGAUCCGGUCCGACCGAUGCACAACCCUGGAUCAAGGUACUUCCUACCAAUCCAGGCAUCUGUGAGUUGAGUUCGUACGUGGAGACUUCAAGAUACACCUGCCAGCAUCCGCAGGCCUCGGAGUAACCUUUUAUCUACUUUUAUAUUUUCCUUCUUUUACUAGUUAUAGUUGUAUAGGGAUGGCUAUGAUACCGUUGUAGAGCUUGUGACUCGAUAUCACCAGGUUUUGGGAAAAUUGUAUAUGUUUAGUUAUGGAG
rnacentral:lncRNA from 1 species